GCAUUCUGGUGGCGGCUGUUCGCACAGUUGCGCGAACUCCCUGUGAUGAUGUGCUUUCUUACCGUAGAAAUUGGAUUAGGAAGCCUUUAAGCAGGUACUUCUUCUUGCAUAAGCCUGCAUCGCCAACUAAUUGAUUUAUGCGGCCACUUUUUGUGUCGGCCGAAGCGAUCAGGAUGCGGCAAAGGAGUUAGUUGCGUGACGGACAACGGGGGGACUCACGCAAAUUUCUCGGCUAUCACCACACCCAGAGGAGUAAAGGAAGCUUGAGAGUACGGCGGUGAGGGUUGAUUGGGUAUCUGUGACGAGGUGUUCAGAACUAGGGUUUGCUUUUUUUUUUCUGUUUUCCUCAUUUCUCCGAAAGGCUGGAGCACUUUGUGGAUUGUACGGCGAACGCCUGUUGUGACUGUGGCACCACGGAGUCGUCGGAGUGACAAACUGGACGGCGGGUGUUCAGAGGAGUCCGCGAUCAUGAUGGCGUGUUGCAUUAGUGAAGAAGCGAAAGAACAGAGAAGAAUCAAUCAAGAGAUCGAGCGACAACUACGAAAGGAUAAGCGUGAUGCCCGGCGGGAGCUCAAGCUCCUGCUGCUCGGCACAGGCGAGUCAGGAAAAAGCACCUUCAUCAAGCAGAUGCGAAUUAUCCAUGGCCACGGCUAUAAUGAUGAGGACAAGAAGGGCUUCAUCAAGCUUGUUUAUCAAAAUAUUUUCAUGGCCAUGCAGAGCAUGGUCAAGGCAAGGGAAAUGCUGAAGAUCCCUUUCCGAGCUCCAGAGAACCAGGAAAAUGCAAACCUGGUGAUGUCUGUAGACUACGAAACAGUCACGACCUUUGAGAAGCCCUACGUGGAUGCUAUCAAGCAGCUUUGGGCUGAUGAUGGCAUCCAGGAGUGCUACGAUAGGCGCCGCGAGUACCAGCUGACAGAUUCUGCCAAAUACUACCUAACAGACGUGGACAGAAUAGCUGCCCCGAACUACCUUCCUACGCAACAAGACAUCCUCCGGGUACGAGUGCCCACUACAGGCAUUAUCGAAUACCCAUUUGACUUGGACUCCAUCAUUUUCAGAAUGGUGGAUGUUGGUGGCCAGCGAUCUGAGCGGAGGAAAUGGAUCCACUGUUUUGAGAAUGUGACGUCUAUUAUAUUCCUAGUAGCCUUAAGUGAAUACGACCAGAUCCUUUUUGAGUCUGACAAUGAGAACCGAAUGGAGGAGAGCAAAGCUUUGUUCAAGACCAUCAUCACAUAUCCCUGGUUCCAAAACUCGUCUGUUAUUCUAUUUCUAAACAAGAAGGACUUACUAGAAGAAAAAAUUAUGUAUUCUCAUUUAGUGGACUAUUUUCCGGAAUAUGAUGACACGGAGAACAUUCGGAUGGUGUUCUGUGCUGUCAAGGACACCAUUAUGCAGAACAACCUUAAAGAAUACAACUUUGCCUGACGCUUUCAUUCUCAGUCCUGCAUUCCUUUUGAGUCGCAUGCCUUGGGUUUGGAUGGACACAGAGAACAUCCGGUUCGUGUUUGCCGCCGUAAAGGACACCAUCCUGCAGCUGAACUUGAAGGAGUACAACCUAGUGUAGGAA
rnacentral:misc_RNA from 1 species